AUGGGGAUUAUGGGAUUCAGGUCCAAGAUGAUGAGAUUCAGGUUCAAGAUGACUCUGAUGGGGAUUAUGGGAUUCAGGUCCAAGAUGAUGAGAUUCAGGUUCAAGAUGACUCUGAUGGGAAUUAUGGGAUUCAGGUCCAAGAUGAUGAGAUUCAGGUUCAAAAUGACUCUGAUGGGAAUUAUGGGAUUCAGGUCUAAGAUGAUGAGCUUCAGGUUCAAGAUGACUCUGAUGGGGAUUAUGGGAUUCAGGUCCAAGAUGAUGAGAUUCAGGUUCAAGAUGACUCUGAUGGGAAUUAUGGGAUUCAGGUUCAAGAUGAUGAGAUUCAGGUUCAAGAUGAUGAGAUUCAGGUUCAAGAUGAUGAGAUUCAGGUUCAAGAUGAUGAGAUUCAGGUUCAAGAUGACUCUGAUGGGGAUUAUGGGAUUCAGGUCCAAGAUGAUGAGAUUCAGGUUCAAAAUGACUCUGAUGGGAAUUAUGGGAUUCAGGUUCAGAGUGUUCCUGCUGUGGCGGAUGAGGAGCAGGGAGGCUUUCCCACGGCAGGGAAGGGUGUUGAUGAUUCUGAAGAUGAUACUGAAGCUAGCCAGGUGCAAAGGGAGGACAGCUCCCAGUCUGAUAGCAUGCAGACAGAGUCUAAUGCUAACAAGCUGUCUGGCCUUGAUGAAACAGAAUCUUUGGAUCGAGCUGGCCGUUUGGAAUUCAAGAUUCGCAGGAGUGUUAUAGCAAACAAGAGGGAGGUCAGAGGCCAAAGAAAUGCAUUCAUGCUGUGCAAAGGGUAUUAAAAGAGUGUGCUGAGAGAGGAACCUUUGUCAAAGCAACUUCUCAUUUGAGUCAAGAAGCCAGCUCUUGCUUUCCCGGAUUAUCUUGCAGCCUUGGUGUAUGACUUUGUCAUGUGUUGAUGGAACCUUGUUUUAUGCCUAACGUUUUCUUGGAUUAUUCUUUAUAGCCUUGUU
rnacentral:lncRNA from 1 species